CGUUAAUUCGGCAUUUAAAAAGAGACCGUGAGAAGUUGUGAGUGCGAGUCCAUCCUCGAGCAUUACCUUUAAAACGUUCAUAAAAGUAAAGCAAACUUAUGGCAGAAAAUCUCGGAACAGCGGCCGAAAGAGAAAGGGAUCAAGAGAGGGAAGUUAAACCACGAAUUUUAGUCCAAGCUGGCGCUUUUAGCCUUGUGCUGGGUGAUAUAGAAGAGGAUUACAGGAGAGCACCAAAAUCAGCUGCCAAAGAAGGAUAUUACAUUUUGAGGAACGGUGGCACAGCGGUUGAUGCUGUAGAAACAGCAGUUCGUGUGUUUGAGGACAAUGGAUACUGUAAUGCUGGUUUUGGAUCGUAUUUGAACAAUGAUAAUGAAGUGGAAUGCGAUGCACUUAUAAUGGACGGCGAUACAUUAAAAAGUGGCGCAGUAAUGGCCGGACGCCAUUUCCGUAAUCCUGUUUCCCUCGCCAAAAAGAUCAUGAAAGACUGUCACCAUAGUGCCUUAUCUGGUGAAGGAGCUCUAGAAUUUGCUCGCAAAUGUUCUUUCCCAUGUUAUGAUCAAGAUGAGUUGAUAAACCGAUAUAGUCGUGACAAAACACAAGGAGUGAAUUACGAAAAUAUGCCAAAAUUUAUAGAACUUCACUAUCCGGGAAUUCCGCAGAUGGCGAUGGACACUGUAACUGCUGUUGCCAUGGAUGCCGAUGGUAAAAUGGCGUGUGCGGUGUCAACAGGUGGUAUAGCGGGAAAAUUGAAAGGUCGUGUCGGAGACGUGCCGAUGGUUGGUUGCGGGGGUUACGCGAACAAAAGCGGUGCAGCAACCACCACUGGACAUGGCGAGUCCAUAAUAAAAAUGACUCUGGCAAGAGACGUCGUUUCCAUGAUGGAAGCAGGAGCCAAUGCCCAGACGUCUGCAGAAAAUGCUGUAAGGAAAUUGCUGGAGACUAAUGGUAACUUUGGUGCAGGUGGUGCAAUCGCAAUUGAUAGAGAUGGAAACUUUGGGAAGGCGUGCCGUACCGAGAAGAUGCCAUGGGCAAGCAUCGUGGCCGUCCGAGUUAGGCCAGGCGAAGAAACUGAAAUCAUACAACACCGAAUGGAAUCCGGCAUGAAUCCUGCUGACGAACCUGAAGUUGAAUAUUGGUAAAAUAACUAUGUCUGAGAGCACAAACAUUUUCAUAUAUAAUCUGUUACAACGUAGUUUUUUUCGAGGUUUCAUGACCUCAGGUAAUUAUUAAGUAAUAUUAACGCCAAUAAGGCGGCGGUACAAGGUGGA
rnacentral:misc_RNA from 1 species